UAAAAUCGGAUCAAUCUGUGGGGACAUGUGUUGGAAGUGGUGUGGUGGAGCGAGGUCCUUUUCUUUGAGUUGUUGAAAUUCCCACCUGCCUCAAUAAAUUAUUUUUCUUUCUUGCUUGCGGUGCAGUCCCAUAUCGCUUAAGCGACCUUUUCCUUGAGGAAAGAUUUCCGUAUCGUGAGGGCUCUUUCGUAUCGAUUCAUGUUCAUCAACUUCUUCUUCUUUGACUUAGACCGCUCCGUGCCUUUCACAGAUAGGAGAGAGGAUUGCUACUGGCUUUUGCUUCCUUGAUUGACAGAGACUGGCUACCAACCGUGCCACAAAACUUCAGCUUGCUUGAUUGACUAAAUAUCGUAUGAUAAUUGCAGAUUGGCGGACAGGGUACGGUUAGAAGUUUACUGAGAAGCGUGGAGCUUGCCGCCCAGUGGUGAUUGAAAUCAAAAAAUGACCUCCAAUCAACAACCCGGGAAUCCAUUCGCUACUGCUCCUCAUACAUCCGCUUUGAUCUUACCUCUAUUGCUUUCCAGACUGGCUAGAGGAAUGUCUUUUAAAUCAACUAGCUAGUUACUCUGCUUCGCACCUUUUCCUUUCUACCCCCUCUAUAGCUCCUCAUUUCGGUCCUUUUCAAAGUCCUUCGGGUGUAUGUCCGGUAGUGUAGCUUUUAGUCGUGGGCAAGUAAAAAACAUCUUUUUAGAAUAAUAUGAUUCUGUUAACAUAGUCUUAAGUAAUUAAAUUAUCCAAAUAGAAAAAAUUAAUG